rnacentral:rRNA from 1 species
ACUGCUCAGUAACACGUGGACAACCUACCCUUGGGACCAGUAUAAUCCUGGGAAACUGGGCAUAAUGCUGGAUAGGUCACAAUUGCUGGAAUGCAUUGUGGCUCAAAGCUCCGGCGCCCAAGGAUGGGUCUGCGGCCUAUCAGGGUAGUAGUGGGUGUAAUGUACCUACUAGCCUACGACGGGUACGGGUUGUGAGAGCAAGAGCCCGGAGAUGGAUUCUGAGACACGAAUCCAGGCCCUACGGGGUGCAGCAGGCGCGAAAACUUUACAAUGCGGGAAACCGUGAUAAGGGGAUCUCGAGUGCCAGCAUAUAAUGUUGGCUGUCCAGAUGCUUAAAAAGCAUUUGUUAGCAAGGGCCGGGCAAGACCGGUGCCAGCCGCCGCGGUAACACCGGCGGCCCGAGUGGUAACCGUUAUUAUUGGGUCUAAAGGGUCUGUAGCCGGCCAAGUAAGUCCUUUGGGAAAUCUGGUAGCUUAACUAUCAGGCUGCCAGGGGAUAUUGCUUGGCUUGGGACCGGGAGAGGUGAGAGGUACCUCGGGGGUAGGGGUGAAAUCUUGUGAUCCUCGAGGGACCACCAGUGGCGAAGGCGUCUCACCAGAACGGGUCCGACGGUAAGGGACGAAAGCUAGGGGCACGAACCGGAUUAGAUACCCGGGUAGUCCUAUCCGUAAACGAUGCUCGCUAGGUGUCAGUCACGGUGCGACCGUGAUUGGUGCCGUAGGGAAGCCGUGAAGCGAUCCACCUGGGAAGUAUGGCCGCAAGGCUGAAACUUAAAGGAAUUGGCGGGGAGCACA